GAUGAAGAACGUAACGAAAUGCGAUAAGUAAUGUGAAUUGCAGAAUUCAGUGAAUCAUCGAAUCUUUGAACGCACAUUGCGCCCGCCAGUAUUCUGGCGGGCAUGCCUGUUCGAGCGUCAUUUCAACCCUCAGGCCCCCAGUGCCUGGUGUUGGGGAUCGGCCCAGCCUUCCUGUAAGGCCGCCGGCCCCGAAAUCUAGUGGCGGUCUCGCUGUAGUCCUCCUCUGCGUAGUAGCACAACCUCGCAGUUGGAACGCGGCGGUGGCCAUGCCGUUAAACACCCCACUUCUGAAAGUUGACCUCGGAUCAGGUAGGAAUACCCGCUGAACUUAAGCAUAUCAAUAAGCGGAGGA
rnacentral:misc_RNA from 1 species